GGUGGUGCGUGGUUGUCGUCAGCUCGUGUCGUGAGAUGUUGGGUUAAGUCCCGCAACGAGCGCAACCCUUAAGCUUAGUUGCCAGCAUUCAGUUGGGCACUCUAAGGUGACUGCCGGUGACAAACCGGAGGAAGGUGGGGAUGACGUCAAAUCAUCAUGCCCCUUAUGACCUGGGCUACACACGUGCUACAAUGGACAGUACAAUGAGUUGCGAGACCGCGAGGUUUAGCUAAUCUCUUAAAACUGUUCUCAGUUCGGAUUGCAGGCUGCAACUCGCCUGCAUGAAGCCGGAAUCGCUAGUAAUCGCGGAUCAGAACGCCGCGGUGAAUACGUUCCCGGGUCUUGUACACAC
rnacentral:rRNA from 1 species